rnacentral:lncRNA from 1 species
GAAUUGAUUAUUCAAAGAGUUAGAAGAAAGAUACUGUUUCCAUUGAUUACAAACAAAACAUGAACGCUACUCACACAAGCUUGACGGCUGCUUCCACCACCACCACCACCAUAUUUUAUACAUGCUGAAACAUUUAUUAUAUACCAGAAGCAACCAGAAGAAGAAGCAGAAAACUUCAGUACGUAUUACAUGUUGUUAACGAUAUUAAUGUUUGUUUAAGCCAGAACAUCAAGGAAAGGAUAGUCAGUGUAGCCAACAACAGGAUCGGGAAUGUAGAAAGUGUUCCUGUUGUACCUAUUAAGAGGAGCAUUUAACUCAAAUCGUUUUGGCAAAUCUGGAUUAGCCAGAAACAAUCUUCCAAAUGCCACCAGAUCUGCGUAAUUCUCAGCUAUAGCCUUGUUACCAUCAUCUCUACGGUAUCCUCCAGCAGCUAUAAAAGUCCCUUCAAAGGCAUUUUUCAUUGGAAGUAGACUGUGAGGAGUUUCAUAUAUGUCGUUCGCUUUAACCAUUCUUGGCUCAAUUACAUGGAGAUAAAGAAUACCAAAUUUGUUUAAUGCAUUUGCCAUGUAAAGGCCAAGUUCUUCUGGGUUUGAAUCAACGGCUUCCAUGUAGUUAGCAUAUGGCGAUAGUCUCAUGCCAACUUUAUCAGCUCCAACUUCAUCAACUACAGCUUCCAAUAUUUCCAAUGGAAAGCGGCACCUAUUUUCCAAGCUCCCACCAUAAUUAUCAGUUCUGUCAUUUACUUGAUCUUUAAGGAACUGAUCAAUCAAGUAACCAUUUGCCCCGUGAAUCUCAACUCCAUCAAAUCCUGUCAAAUACAUAUUGUUUUUCAUCAUAAAAGUACUUGGAUUUGAAUAGCUACACAUGCACAAUUCUGAUGAUCCCUUCAAGCAAUAGUUUUUAUGCCUCAAAGUACUCGUCAUCCGGAGACAUUAUGAUAAGUGGCUAACAAGCUAUAGUGUGUGUGUGUGUGUGUACACUAUAGCUAGCCAACAUACACACCAGCUUCAAUGGCGUUGCGGGCAGCGAGUCUGAAAUCAUUAACAAUGCGAGGAAGUUCAUCGGCUCUUAAUCGACGAGGAGGUGACCAGUCUUCUCCGUCAAGACCUGGUGUCACUCCUUUAUCAGUGCAUGAUAUGGGAGCUUCCCCAUUCGGCUGAAACCCUGUAUUGCAAAAAUCAUGCUACAUUUGUCAAAUAAAUUACAACUCUAUUUGGCUCAUACUCUUGAAAUUAACAGAUACGAUGAAGAAAUUAAUUCAAAAAAUGGUUGGAUUAUGAUGGAGCUUUCUUCUUUUCUUUGAUUUCUUGUGCAUUUUGAUAAUAGAUUGAACCAUGGGACUUGAGAUUUUAUAUAUAUAUAUAGAAUCAUAUUUGAAAUCAGCUGAAGUGAAAGCACAUACCAUAAGUGGAGACACGACCCACAUGCCAAAUUUGGCAAAACAAAAUGCCACCUUUCUCAUGAACAGCAUCCACAAUUGGCUUCCAUGCUUUCACUUGCUCUUCAGUCCAAAUUCCAGGUGUUUCAGGAUAUCUUUAAAUCAAAUAAGAAAAAUAAAUGAAAAUCAUGGUAAUAUGUUAAAAAUUAUAUAUAUUUUUUAUAUACAUAAAUUACAAUAACCUAAGACUUAUUUUAUGUCUUUGUCUUCGUCCCUCUAAUAAAAUACAUUUCUAUCCCUUUUGUUCUAAAACGCAAAACAAAUAAUUUAUAUAUUCUUAAAUACAGUAAUAUUAGUGCAUUGAUACAUAACCAUUUAAUUAGGAGUAAAAAUAUUUUUCAUUAUUUUUCUAAUCAGUUAUCACCUAAAACUAACUUAAUAAACUUGCUUUGGUCCCUAUAUAUUAGUCCUCUUACAAAUAAAUCUUUAUCUGAAAGUUCUCGUAUUUUACAAUAAAUAUAAUUUAAAGUCAAUUCAAUCACAAAAUAGUUAUGCCGAUCAAAUUUUACAUAUCAUAGCUCAACAACUAUGGUCUAUAGGGACAAACGUCUCCAUAGCAUCCUCUUCUUCACAGAGGAGAGGGACUACCUUACCUUCAGUUUCUAACAUUUCAAAACCACUUUUCAUACCUCCCCAAAUAUCAAAUGAUCAAACGAAAAAACUAUUAUCAUCUGAUAACCUCAAUGAAAUUAUCACUAAAAAACUCCACACGUUAGAAUUAAAGAAGGUUUGAAGUUUUUGAACCGGAAGAGAUGUCACUUGUAGACCUUCUAUGGCUUAAGCUUGUAAUUUUAAUAGGAUCAUGUCUAGCCGAUUGAAUUAUAAUCUUUGCAUUUCCAAAUCGAUAUUUUUAUAAUUUAUAUUGGAUGACUUCUAGAUGGAAUACUAACUUGAGGUAGUUUCCAAUUAUCAAGAUAUACGAUUUGUCGAUGAGCAGGGUUUGAUUUCUAGGUGAUUUUUUGAGAGUUCCUGGGGCUAUAUUUGUAGCCGCGAUCUUAAUAUAUAUCCUAUAGAUAAUGGCUACAUUCCUUGAAUCUCGAAGCAUAUCAUUUGGAGUCUAGAUGUUUAGAGUUGGGAGUUUUUAUGAUAUUUGAGUAGAACAAUGAAACAAUAAAAUAUGGAUAACAUUUGAAAUACGCAGUCCUAUUAGCCAGAUUUGAUAGAAAAACUACAAUAGUGAGUUCAAAAAGGCUAUGGAUCUAGUGUCCGAGCAUGGGAGUAUCUAAUCCAAGACAACAAAGAGGUUUGAUCGCAAUUUGAGCUGAGCCUAUACAAAGAAAUUUAUAUUUUUCUUUGAACUUUUCUGUUUUAUCUAAUUGAACAAGGCGAAGCACUUCUGCACGAGGUACUGCUUGAAGGUCUAGAUCUAGAGGAUGAUAUAAAUAAUCUACACCAAAAACAGACUGACAACAAAUACUUGAAAAGAGUAAUGAAGUUCAGCAAGGUAAAUCUAACAAUAGAAACACCGCUUGAGACCACCGAAACGCCUAACUUUAGCUACCGCGGCUGACUAACAGCCACCGCAGCUUUACCUAACAUUGCGAAACAUGCUUUGACUAAACUUUCUUAUUAUUAACAGCCUAACAAGGCUGCGAUACCACUAAAAUUUUUCAAACAGUUUAAAUGAAAUUUUGAUAAGUUUAUGAGCGAAUUUAAAUAGGUGUAAAACUAAAAUUAUACGAUUACUAUUUUAUUUUUAUUUUUUAUAUUCCACAUGCAUCAUAGCAUAUACAUAUAAUAUUUUAGACGAUCAAACAAUUCCAAUGAUUCAAUGACCUGAUAAUAGCUUCAACUCAUUAUCUUAAUUGAUUCAUAGAUUAACAACUUAAGAUUUGAUGGUAUGAUUUAUUUUAUCGAACAGGUACAGAAUUAGUAAGGAAGUUCCUCAAUGGAGAGUAAAAGUGGUGAAAUAAGAGAAUUUACCCUUGAGCUGUGUCAGAAACCACAGUUGCUUCGGAAAUGAGGAAGCCUCCAUUGGUAGCGCGUUGAGAAUAGUAUAGGAUGGCAUGUGGUUGAGGCAUGUUGUUGUAGGAUCUAUUCCUUGUUAAUGGUGCCAUAACAACUCUAGCAAUUAUAAAAGGGCAGAAAAACAAGAUGAUUAACAAACAAUAAUAACCCAUGAUUCGGCUCCCCAUCGAAGCGUCAAUCAUACAGUAGAAGGAGAUGGGGGCAAGAGGGUUAGCUAACACACACGAACCUGUGAGAGAGGUUGAAUUUCCCCAUUUUGUAUGGAGUGAGUAAAGGGAUGGGGUUGGUGCUGGCUGCCAUUUCUUUCCUUUCCUUCGAUCUCUGCUUUCUAUCUUCUCUUCUACACCCUGUAUUCAACUCGGCUUUGGAGUCAAGAUACAGCACUGUUAUUUAUACACACAGAUGUGUGUGUGUGUGUAAGAAAAUGAUGAGGCAGCUCCCUCCUCAAUUUUUUUCUUUUUAAAGGGAAAUAAUUGAGAUGAAAAAGAACAGGUGGGGUGUUGCUGAUGCAAGGAGAUAGGGAGCUCGUGUGGGUUCUUUAAUAGUCAAAGCAAAAGCCAUCAAGAACAACAACAGUGAGCUUCGCCGGCAGUAUCUCAUGGCCGCCUUGAAGUCAAAGGGAAAAUCUUAAAAUUAUCCCUGAAUUAUUGGGAUUCCCUUUUGACUCCAAACUAUUUUUUUUACAUCGAUAUAAUUUUUGAUUCGGUAUAAUUUUUACUUGUAAAAAUAAUUAAAUUAAAUUUUUAUAAAAUACAAAAUAUCAAACUAAAAUUGGUUCCCACCAACUAGUUCAGUUCACUUAUUUAUAUUAAAAAUCAAAAUUUAACCUACUGGUUUUAAUUAUGUUCGAUUAUUUUAUAUUAAAAAUAAAAAACCAUAUUGUUUUUUAGGCUUUUUUUGAACUUUUCUGAUGAGCUUGGUUUCGGUUCGGUUCGGUUUGUUUUUUCAGUUCGACCUGGUUCAAUUUGGUUUUAACUAAACCGGUUCGGUUGAGGUUUUUCGAUUUCAGGCUUAUGAAACUAAAACUGAAGUUAACCAAAUAUUUCUUUUAAAUAUUCUAAUCAGUUUAAUCGGAUUUUUUUUCAUAUUUCAGUUUUUUUGAUUUUAUUGGUUUUUUUUCCUCGUUCCUAAUCUUACCUCUAUUAUUUUGAUUUUUUAAUUAAGAGAAUAUUAUGCUUAUUUAAUAAAAACCAUCAAGUUUGGUAAAGUUAACUAAAAAACAAGGUAUAAUCAUAAUGAAACUAUGGAUGGAAAGGUUUAGAAAAUGAAGGGAAGUUCUCAGCCGAGAAUUUCUCUAAAUCUUAAAGAUUGAAAUUAUAUAAAAAAUUUGUUUAUUAUUUUGGUUUCUUGAUCAAAAAACUAUUUUAACAUAAAACAUCAAGUUUAGGUACAAAAUAAUGAAUUUUACCAUCAAAACUACAAUAAAAAAAGCAUAAUUUUAAUGAAAAUAUAAAUGUUUAAAAAUGUAUGGACAUUCUCGGUUCAUUUGAAAGUGUGGUGAGAUGUGGUUGAAACUUUAUUUUGUUCCCAUUAUAGUUUUGAAAAUAUUUGGUUAAUCAAUAUAUAUCACAGUUUUACAUAGUUUCGAUAAAAAAUUCUCUUUUGAAACUUUGAUCAGGAAAAUGCUAUAAUUUAUAGUUUUUUUAAAAUAUUUUUAGAUUGCAACCACAAAAGUUAUUACAGCGCUAAACACAUAAUUUCUAAAAUUCUAGAGAUGAAAUUAAUAUAAAAAAUUGUUUGGGUAUAAAAUUGGAACUUUUGAUAUAAUUGGAGGGCAUUUUUUUGGCAUUGACUAAUUGUGUUGCCUCGCUAGGUGGAUUUUGACACGUUUAUUAUAUAUAUAUAGGACCGGUGGACCACCGUUGAUUAGAACCCAGAUGUAUCCUGCUGUUUGAUGUCAUGGUGUAUUUUGAAUUUUUUAUUUUAUUUUAAAUUAUCUAUAUUAAAAAUAAAAAAAUAAAAAAAUAUUUUAAUGCAGUAAAAAAUAUUUUAUGAAUCAACCACCCCCACAAUCUUAAAUGUUGACAAAAUAAAAAAUGCAACGUUUGCUUUUAAUGUCACUUUCCAUUUUUACUUUUGAUUUUUUUAUUAAUAUUAAUUUAGUUGGAAUAUAGAACAUGGAUUUCCCGACAAGAUGGAUUUGCCUUUUUGUAUGAAUAUAAUUGUUUUUAUCGAAAUGAAAAUGAAUCUUAAUUUAGUGCGAGAAUAUUCAUUAUAUUUUAUUUAAUAAUUAAUAAUAUAUUUAUCUAGAUAAACAUAAAGUUUUUCUUCUUUUUUAUAUGAAAAUUUUCCACAUAUAUUUUUAUGAUAAAAAAUAAUCUUUUUAAAAAAUAUAUUCAUCUUAAGUUUAAUGGGAGUUGUACUGAAAGAUUCAAAGUAAAGAUUUCAUAGAACUCAAUAAUUUCUUUUUUAUAUAUAUAUAAAAACUACUUUUAUAUAUAUAUAUAUAUAUAUAUAUAUAUAUAUAUAUAUAUAUUCAUUACUUGAGUUUUAUGUGAUUCAAAACAGAAACGUCAAAGAAUUUUUUAUUUAAAAAAAAAACUACAUGUUUUUUUAUAUAUAUAAUUUAGUAUGUUACUUGAUUUUCAUGUGAUUCAAAGUAGAGAUGUCGAGAAUUCAUUAUUUUUUUAUAAAAAAAAUGAUAUGAGGUUCACUAGCUUAUUUAACAAAAAAAAAAAAAUGAUCCAUUGAAAAUGUAAUUGAGAUGAAAAAAAUAAGUUGAGGAUCAAAUUAAAACUACUUUUAAAGAUUGGGAUUGGUUUGCCAAUAAAAAAUGAGUAUUAUAAAAAAAUAAAAGAGAUUAAUGUUUUACUGUGAACUUUGAGUGCUUUCACUAUGAAUUAUAUUAUUUGGGUUUAUUCUCUCCAAAACUCUUUCAAUGCUCAGCUCUUUCAUCAAUGAAACAUUUGACAAGUGGCGCUGAGUUAUUUAUUAUAUUACAUUCUAAACUAAAAGGCAUCAGUGCCCCUUCACUAUUUACCUAGAUAUAGUUCACUGUGGAUUGGAGCAAUGUAAAUACAGAGUUGUCCUUGCCACAUAAACUUGCAAAACAUGCAGUGGGAGUGUGGGGCUGUCUUUUCCAUUUAGUAUUGAAAGAAUGGUUGAGGACAAAUGGUCAGUUCGGAUUUUGUUGGGGCAUGGUCAGGUUGUGUGCCCCAGGCAUUGGGGCAUGACAUGGCUGCCCCUUCCAGACCCAAGACACUUGGGUUUGACAUCCCCUUCCAGACCCAAGACACUUGGGUCUGGAAUGGAGCACCUCACCUAAGUUGCUUGGGUGUGGCAAAAAUGUAAACUCAAGUCCCUUGGGUCUUGUAGCCUCGCCUGACCUAAGAUUCUAAGGUCCGGCGUUCAAACCCACCGGACAUCAGGACCCAAGGCUCUUAGGUACAACGUAUGACCCAAAUCUAAUAGGUCCCCGCGUAGCAGCCGAAUUCAAAACUCUUUAGUUUGGCAUUUAAGAGGGACCCAAAGCUCUUGGGCUUGGUGUUGCAGUCAGACCCACUUAAACUUAGGUAAGUUUAAUAUUAUUAUUAAUAUUAAAAAUAUUAUUAUUUGUAUUAUAAAUAUUGUUAUUUUUAUUAUAAUUAAUGUUAUUGAUAUUAAAAAUAUUAUUAUUUUUAUUAUAAUUAAUAAUAUUAAUAUUAAAAAUAUUAUUUUUGUAUUAUAAAGAUUAUUAUUUUUAUUAUAAUUAAUAUUAUUAAUAUAAUAAUUAAUAAAUUUGUAAAAAAUAUCAUUAAUAUUGAAAAACAACCAUAGAUUUUAUUUGAAGGGUAAAAUUAAAAAUUAUUGUCGUCGUCGUCAUCAUCAUCAUCAUCAUCAUUAAUAUAUUUGAAAAAAAAAUUAUAACUAUCAAAGAAAAACAAUAAAUUUUAUUUGAAAGGACUUAAAACUAUACAAACUUGGGCCAGACAAAUUUAAUAUUAAUAUUAAUAUUAUAAAUAUUAUUAAAUUCAUUAAUAUUAUUAAAUUUGAAAUAAAUUUUAUUACUAUAAAAAAAAAAACAUAGAUAUGAUUUAAAGGGUAAAAUUAAUUAUUAUUAUUAUUAACUCGGGUCUGGUAUCCCCUUCCAGACCCAUGAAACUUGGAGGCUGGAAAGAGACACCUGACCCAAAUUAUUUGGGAGUGACAAGAGCGUAGACCCAAGUGCCUUGGGUCUUGCAGCCCCGUCUAGUCCAAGACACUUGAGUUAGGCGUUCAGACUCAAAGCAAAUGAGUCUGAUGCCCUGACCCAAGUCUAAUAGGUCCAGUGUUGCAACCAGAUCCAAGGCUCUUAGGUCUGGCAUUUAAGAGGAACCCAAAGCUCUUGAGCUUGAUGUUACAGUCAGACCCACUUAAACUUGGGUAAGUUUAAUAUUAUUAUUAAUAUUAAAAAUAUUAUUAUUUGUGUUGUAAAUAUUGUUAUUUUUAUUAUAAUUAAUAAUAUUAAUAUAAUAAUUAAUAAAUUUGUAAAAAAUAUCAUUAAUUGUAAAACCUUGAGAAACACACUUUAUAAAUAUAAAAUUAUGGUGAGUAUAAUAAUAAUAGUGCAAUUAAAUAAAGAAGAAGAAGAGAGUCGGCAACCCAUACAAAAAGAAAAGAGAGAUUUGGAGACCUAAAGUGGAAGAAACAAAGAGGGGAGGACCAGACUUAAAAGGUAUGAAUAAAUAAGGGAUAGAAAUAAAAAAAAAAGGGGGGGGGGAGAGAGAAGAAAAUCGCCAUCCUUUGAUGGAGGAGAGCUAACAGCAGAAAAAAAAGAAAAAGGGAGAAGAAGAGUCACUCACUGCCUCUUCAUUUUCUCUCAAGAACAAACAAGGAGAACUACAUGCAAUUCACCAUAUGGGAGGAAACUAGGAGGGUGAGGGAAGAUUUAGACAUUAAAAGAUAAGAGAAGAGAAGAAGAAAGCCAAGAAGGAGCUGGCGGCAGCAAGGGAAGAAAAGAAGACGAAACAUUUGAGGGAGAAGGGGUUACAAAGAGCAGAAAACACUACUAGGACAAACCUAAGACCUUUCUAGAGCAAUUUUAAACAUUUUGGGUAUGUUGCAUGCAAAAAAAUAUCAGUCCUAAGCUAAGUUCUUGAGAAACUUUCUGUGAUAUUUUUUACCAAACUAAAGGACAAAGAAACUAGGGGAAGGUCUGCAGACCUUCAGUAAAAUAUGAACAGAGAGGGAGGAGAAAUAUGUUAAUACUAAUUAAGCAUGCAUAUUGAGAGACAAUAUUGAAUUUCACAAAAUUAUGAUACGAUAAUAUUUGAAAACAUAUGAACAACCUUGUUACACAAAUUCUUGUGAAGCCUAAUCCCUAAAUGUACUAUAUCCUUAUAUGUAAUUGUUAACGUGAGAAAAUGGUGAAAUUCUGUGGGUAAUAACGGUUGAAGAAAGGAAAAGAAAUGCAUGAAAAAUGAUGGCUUAUGUGCUGAACACCCAAACCGGGAGAAAAUCUGGGUUGUUGUGUUAAUUAACUUGCGCCCAGGAAUUGACAUAGAUAGAGGCAUAAUCUGGAGUAUCUCCUUUCAGAGAAGUUGCAGUCUGAGAUGUUAUCUUUCCAACGAAUCCAACCUCGCUUAAUUUGGAGCUCUAGAUAUAGGUAAACACUAGAUUGACUGCCCGCGCUUUGCUGCUGCGGGCGAUUUUAGGUUAUGAAUGAAAAUGCGAUUUUUUUACCAAAACAAAAAUAACAUCCAUGAAAAAUAAUAAUUGCUAGGCAAUGAUAAAAAGAACUGCAGCCAGGUAUAGUAUCAAAGGUUUGAUAAUAUAGAUAAAGUUAUAAACAACAACAAAAUGCAAAUAAGUUAAUAGAUUGUUGGGCACUGAAAGGACAAUGUUGUUUGCAAAUUAUAUUAAAAUUGUAGAGGCAGCAUUUAUCUUAUUGUUUUAGAAAUCAUAAUCCAAGUCAUUAGUAGAGAAAUUGCUAGUGCUGGUAAGAAAAUGAAAUAAAUUAUGUCAAAAAAAGAGAGGAAAGGAUGUGUGAAAGGGGUGUGCUGCAGGCAUGUGUAACAUAAAAUAACAUAGAAGAACAACUUGUAAAAUAAAAGAAAAAAAUUUUGCUAUAAUUUGAUUUGAUUCUUUAGCUAAUGUCUUUUUUUUUGACAUGUUAAAUAGCUUCCACAAAAAUAUUUUUGGUUUUUAUGAAAUUUAAGGUUGAAAAUUCGGUCCAUAUUUAUGAAUUAUAUAAAGUUAAAUGUGUGGAUGAGGCAAGAAAAUAAAAAUUUAGCAUAUUUAUUUUUUUACAUAUUUUAUUGUUACACAUCUUAUUUUUAUCGUUACACUAAUAUGUGUUGACGAAAUCAAAUCGCAUGACCGCUAAUAAAGAUAAGAAGAAAAAAAGCAAAGAACAACAUAACAACCAUUGACAAAACAUGAAAAAGCCUUAAAUCCAAGAUCACAAAGAUCCGAAUCGACAAUGAACAUAAUUCCAAAAAAGACAAAUUGACAUAACCCAAAAGAGCAUAUUCUGCAAGAAAAAAAUCAAUAGCAUAGUCAAAGCAAAGCAAAGUUGAUAGAGAAGAGCAAAAUGCAAGUUGCACAUACAACAACAUCGACAACAUGUUCAUGAGCCAAACUAAAGCUUUCAAGCAUAACGAACUAAUGAUAGAAAAGAAAAAAAACAAACACAUUGUAGUGUCCCUGCACUUUGCUGCGGGUGAUCUUAGGUUACGUGCAUGGAGACGUAAUUUUUUUGCAAGAAUGAAAAUAACAUCUGUUGGAAAGAAGUGAUUGCUAGGUAAUGAUGAAGAGAAUUGAAGCCAACUCUAGUAUGAAAGGUUUGAUAAUAUAGAUUAAGUUAUAAACAACAUCAAAAGUGAAAAUAAGCUACCAGAUUGUUGAGCACUUAAAGGACAUUGUUGUUUGCAAAUUAUAUCAAAAUUACAGAGGCAGCAGUCAUGAUAAUAUAGAUUAAGUUAUAAACAACAUCAAAAGUAGAAAUAAGCUGCCAGAUUGCUGAGCACUUAAAGGAGAUUGUUGUUUGCAAAUUAUAUCAAAAUUACAGAGGUAGCAGUCAUGUUCUUGCUAUAGAAAUCCAAAUCCAAGUCAUUUGUAGAGGAAUUGCUAGUUUUCCUACGAUGUAAAGACAAUAAAAUAAAUUAUGUAAAGACAAUAAAUCCAAGUCAUUGUUGUUUGUAUUUUUUGGACAUGUUAAAUAGCUUUCAUAAAAAUGUUUUUGGUUUUUUUGUUUUGUGUUAUAGAUGCAAUUGAAGGUUGAAAAUUUUGUCAACAUUUGUGCAGUAGAUGAAAUUAAAUGUGUGGAUGAAGCAAGAUAUAAAAAUUGACCAUGUUUUUUUUUUUACAUUAUUGUAUAUACAGUUUAUGUAGUCAUUAUAAAACUUUUUUCAAAGCAAUAAAAAUCCUAAAGUGAAAAAAAAAGGAAAAACUUUUUUUCUCAAAAAACUCCAGCAUCACAUUGUUGUGAUUAUUCCUUCAGGGAAGAUGAAAGAGGGGAGCAUUUGAAAUCAUGUGAGAAGAAACAAAAUAAAAUUUUCUUGUGGCAUUAAAACGUAGUGAAGAAAUUGAGUGCAGUGUAUGCAUGGAUGGUGUGCUUUCAAAGCCUACAGCACCUGAAAGAAGGAUUGCAGUCUUGCCUGAAUGUGGAUCAUCCAUUGUGCAUAUCCUGUAUCAGGAAUUGGCAUCAUGGUUCCCCAACCUCUGGGAUGACUUUAAUUUACAGCAUUCACCAAGAAAGUAACCAUAUUUGUUGCAAUUGUUUAAGUAACAUAUGCACAUAUAUAAUUGUAAUGAUUUCUUCUUUAUAUGAGUAUUUAUUGUGUGCACAUAAUAAUUAUGUUUUUUUUUAAUAUCAUAUUCUUGUUAAUAUACGUAUAUCCUUUACUAAUUCAUUGGUUUUAUUGAAAAUUAUUAAUAUUGAUAUAUAAAUUAGCCAAGGAAUGAUUUUUUAUCCUUUAAGAAUUGUAUUCAAUGUUAUAAUUAGCAUGUAAAGAAGAGAAGAACUCAUCAAUUAUAGGCUGUGAAGUGAAGAGAAAUAGGUAAAUGUAAAAUAAUAAAAGACAAACAGAUUAGAAAAUAAAUAACAAAUAAAAGGUGGUGGACAAAUUGGACAAUGAUUUAUAAAAAUGUGAGGUUAAAAAUCAAACCUUUGAGGAUGAUGAGGAUGUUGUCCGUUGUUUUUUCAAAGGUGGAAGUGAGUGAUCAAAUGUCUCAGAUGUAGCUAUGUUUCCCAUGUUUCCUUGGACUUCAAUUGCUUUGUCAUGCUCAUCUUCAUGACUAUUGUAAUCAAAGGAGUCAAAGAGAUGCAUGGCAGAAGCAUCAUAGGUUAAGAACCAUCAAAUUUAGCACGUGUCAAAGACAAAAAAAAAAUGUAAAGAAAGUGUGGGGAAAUGUAAACUUGCCUAAGUUGCUGUGUUGCAGCUUCAAAAUCAAGUGCACGUCGUGCUUCACUGUUUAUGCUUGUUUCCUUGUUUGGUGAUAUGUUCUGAAGUGGUGUCUCCAAGGAAUUAGGAGCAAUCCUGAGUUGUGUGACAGUAUUUUGUGGAGUUGAUGGAGCUAUGAGAACCUGUUUCAUAGAGCUUAAUGGAGUAGAUGUCUUGGAUGUAGCAGAUGAUUUAGGUUCUGGAGUUGGUGUUUCUAAAGGAUGGAUGCUCUUAUUUGUGGUGUCGUCAAAGAUAUUAGUAAUGAUAACCUCACAUCUGUUGGUGAUGGAUCUGAAAGCACCAAAUCGAAGCUGAAAAAUCAUGCUUUUGUUCAACUUUGCUGCCAUGGCAGGAGGAAGAACUGAGGGAUCAAUAAAUUUUUUAUCAUAGACAUAAUGGUGGGCUGAUGAUCCAAAAAAGUUCUCCGCAGUUUUCCCAAAUAUAAGAAAAUUAGUGACAUCUUCUCCAUCGGUAACAAUGCAUUCUAAGCGAAACCUAUAAUAUAAAAUUGAUGACAUGUUCAUUAAUAAGAAGUUUAUGAUAAUGUAUCCGAGGAAUAUUAUUUUUUUUAUUUAACAACUUAAUAUUGCUUUAGUUGUGAGAUUAGAUGAGUAACCAUGGAACUGGAAGAGAGGUGAUAGCAUCAUGAUCCAUGCAUGUGUAAUUGUUUUCGCCCCCACUAAGUUUUUUGUUGCAUUUUGGACAACUUGGAUACCACCAGCCAUUGGGAAAAUCAAAGUCAACAAUCAAAGCUUGACAGGUGAAUCUUAGAUGCUGGUAAUAGAAAGGAAGUAUAUGUUACUGGGGUGUGGUUAAAUGAAAUUAAAAAAACUAAUUAUUUGAAGAAGGUAAAGCAUGUUAUCAAAGCUAAUAAUAAAAGGGUUUAAAAAAUAACCUUGUGCUCAUAAGGAUUCAUGCAAAGAAUCUCAUGUAUUGUUCUCCUAUUUUCUUUGAUUUGUUCCUCUAUCGAUAAACAACAUUCGAUGAUGAAGGGAGUUGUUGUAUUUCAACGGGUAGUUGUGCAAAGCUGCGUGUACAAUCGAUUAAAAAAGAUGGUGAAAAAGUAAUUAGUUAGAAAAAAAUUGAUAAUGGUAAAGCAUAAGAGAGAUGGUUGAUGUUGGAAUAACUUACAAAUGUUUAUAUGCUAAGCAUUCUGGUAUGUCCGGAUUGAAGUACCAAAGAGAGGUGGUUGUACUGUUAAGAUUUGGUUUUCCUUGUGAACAAAAGAGUUUUUUGUAAUAAAAUGAAAGGGGAAUUAGUUGGAACAGAAUGACAACAAAAAUCUUUUUUAAAAAAUUAUUUUUAGAAAAAAAAUUAAAUGGAAGUUAAAAUUACCCUUAAAUUCUGUGACACGAAAUCCAGUAAACGCAAUGAUAACCGGAGAUGGUAGGUUAUGAAGAGCGAGUUCAUCAAAAUCUCUGGCACUAUCACCCCAAAGAGUUAUAUGAAGCUCCUCACCACUUUGAAAGAAAAUACAAAACAAAUUGGAUCAAUAAGCUUGAUAAAAGUAAGGUAAUUUGCAUUUAAUUUUUCAACUCACCGAAUGUUCUCAAGCAUGAAUUCUCUUUUAUUUUCGAGCGUCUGUCCACAAACCAUAACUUGUUCAAGUGGCUGCAAUGCUUUAAGUCUUCCAAGGACAUCUUAAAAAACAGGAAUGAAUGCUUUUGAGUGAUGUUAUCAAGUUGAGUUCAAUAAUAGAAAUGUUUUAUAAUAGGCUAAAUGAAUGAAGUAGAUGGUAAACCUGUAAGAAUUCUGGAGCCUUUUGACUUGGUCAGAAUAUGUGCAUAGUCAAUAAAAUUGAAGUAGUAUCUAGGAACAUGAGGUGUAAUAGCUUCAAUGCCUGUAAUUUUUGUGUUAGAUUUGAGAUCAAUUACAGCAUCAUGGACAGUAACUGUGUUUACUACUCUGUUUUCAUAAGUAUAGAAUCCUUUGAUUUCAUAGUGAUUUCCUUCAAUAAUUGUUGCUGCAAAUGUUAGGAGAUCCCUUGUUUUAGCUAAAGCUUGAAUAACUCCACCCUAUAUAAAAAAAAGAUUAAUGUUGAAAUGAAAAAAAUAAUUGUUCACCAUUCCAACAACCAAAUGGAUUAGAAUUUUUAAUGCAAUAUGCAAUAAGGUUUAGAAUUUUGAAUGCAAUAUAUAAUAAGGUUUUGUAAAUUAUUUAAAAAAGAGUUUUGAUGACAUUAGAAGUGAGGUAUUGGUACUACUGGAACAUUAAGUUAAAGGACUGGUUUUAAUAAUGAAUUUAAGAGAUUUUAUGUCUUAAUAUUUCUUAGAAUGUUUAAAUUGGUUGUUACGUAUACAGUCUAUGAAUUUGAAGGAAGAUUUUCUAAGUUAACAAACGUGUCUUGAGGUGAAGGUAAAACAUUAUUUCUAGCAGGAUGCACAUCUAUUAUAAUUAAUUAUUGUAGACCAUUGUAUAAAUGAAAGUUGUAUAUAAAAGAUGUAUAGAAUAAAAGAUAAAUAUACUUCUUGGUUGCUUCUAAAUUCUUGUGUAUAACUGGGUGUAAUAUACCUGGUAAACUGUGGCUCUAGUAUGGAAUUGUAACUGAGAUUUCCAUGGUGAAUUGGUGUAGUUAGCAGUGAAUGCAUCAUAAAAUCUCUCAAACUUUUAUAUUAAAUCAUGUCAAGUAAUAGAAUAUAUGAAACUUGCCUGACCUGUAUGAAAUUUUCUAUGGAUUAUAGAAAGUAAAUGCAAUGCUUGGGGUUUGUCUGGUUUUUUAAGCAUGUAGAAAACAAAGUUAAUUGUAAAUUAUAAAUGGAUAUUGAAAAAGUUUUUUCCAUAAGUUGAAUAAGCAAUUGCUGGUUUAGUAGUGAACUUAACUAUAGCUUUAUAGUAACAAAUUAAAAAGAUAAGGAAACUUGGUUUUCCAUGGGGAAUCUUAAGAGCAAAUAAGUACCUCUGGUUAAGUAAAAAAAAUGUUAAAUUGCCAAAGUAAAGAAAAUAUUCAAAAAUGAGUGGACAUGUAUUAUUCAAACAUUUAAAUAUAUAGAAAAUAAAAUUCAUUAGUGGUUAUAUUUUCAUGAUAAAUUAUACCUGAUUGUCAACAAAAACACAAUUAAAAUUGCUUGGUUGACCAUUAAAUUUAGCAAUCCAAACUCGACAGGCCCUAGCUCGUAAUGAAGGGUAGAAGUUGUAUUUUUUAAUCUGUUUUAUAGGUAGAGCCAUUGUCCUGCAAAUGAUUAAUAAAAAAAAUAUUAGGAGCAAUGAUAAAAACAGUAAAGCUAAUAUUAAUAAAAAGAAUGAGAUGUAUUGCAAAUAUUUAAUUUAAAAUGAAUGGGGAAAAACAACAAAUGGAAACAUGCCCAAAUUAAAAAUGAUAAAUAAAAAAAAAUUUCUUUUGUAAAAAGCAUCACCUUAGAAAAGAAAAAAAGACAGGGAGCAAAAGAUUGACAAUUAAAUAACACGUGGUUCCGAGAGAUCAAGACACUGAUAGAGAGCUAAGAACAUCUUUAUACACAAUGUUUUUCACAUAGAAUGAAUGAUUUCCUUCAGCAUCGCAUGUGAUAAUCUUUAGUCCUUGUCUUGAUGUAACCCGUGAAAGAGCAACAUACAAUUGUCCAUGAGUGAAAACUUGAUCCUUGAGAAAAACCCCGACAACUUUCAAUGAUUGUCCUUGACUUUUAUUUAUUGUCAUAGCAUAACACGGUCUUAUAGGAAAUUGUCUUCGUUUAAUUGUGAAUGGACAUUUUGCAUCAUUUAUUGGAAAAACAAUCCUUGGAAUAAAUACACGAUUGCCAAUAAAAGACCCUGUUAUUAUUUGAGCUUCUAUGACCCUCUCAGCAAGUUGUGUAACAAUAAGACUUGUUCCGUUACAUAAACCAGCUGAUAAAUUAAGAUUGCGUAAAAGCAUUAUUGGUGUGCCAAUUCUCAAGGAAAUUGUGUGGGAUGGCACUCCAUUGAACUCAAGUUGAUUGAUAAAUUCAACGGGAUACAAAAUCUCUGCAUUAUCACCAUCGCUCGAUGUUUUGCAAACAGUAUCAGUACUUAGGUAAAUCCGCUUCAUUCCUGGCAACAUGUUUAAGAUAAAAUCGUUGAUUUCAGAAACUGUAGCAUUUCUUGGAGUUACAAUUGCUCUCUCUCUAAAAUAGCAUGGAUCAAUAUUGAUAUCACGAAUAGAGGGAUACAAAGCUGAAACAAUUGCUAAUAUGGGGUUAGAUCCAGGUUCAAGCAAAAGAUCUUGUGGUAUUUUAAUCAUGGAUGCAUCAGAAUCAUCAGGGAAUAAAGCAUCAUGUUGAGUUCCAUCACCAAUUGCAAGAAUCCAGUUGGCAAAAAUAGCAAGUUCUUUCUUUUGAUCAUUUGAAAGUCCAUUGGAUGAUAGCCUCAUAUUCUCUGUAAGAGUGAGAACUUUAAAUUUAGACCAUAAAACAGAGCUGCAAAGAGAUGCAUGAACAAUGUCUUCCUUUGUUCCUCUGGGAAUAACAGGUAAAAUCUGUCUGAAAUCUCCUCCUAACAAAAUUGAUUUCCCACCGAAUGGUUUAUCAUUGGGCAAGUCGUUACCAUUUGUUAAGACAUCACGAAGUGAGCGGUCCAAUGCUUUAAAGCAACACCGAUUAUUCAUUGGAGCCUCAUCCCAUACAAUUAGAGAGGUCAUUUCUAGAAGUCGUGCAAGAUCGGUUUUUUUUUAAUCUCGCACGAUGAAGUAUCAGAAACAGUAACGGGGAUCUUAAAUCUUGAAUGAGUUGCGCGGCCACCAGGAAGCAAAAGUGAUGCGAUACCCGAUGAUGCAACAGCAAGGACAAUCAAACCAUCUGAUCUCAACCGAUUAAUUAUUGUAUGCCACAAAAAUGUUUUCCCAGUUCCUCCAUAGCCAUGAACAAAAAUUAAUUCUUUUCUUUUUUCAAGGACAGAUUUAAUAACACAAUCAUAAACAUUUAGCUGACAUUGAUUGAGUUGUGGGAAAGCUGAUGAAUGCUGACAUAUAAGAUCUGCAAUAUCGUAGUUAAGCUCUUCUCUCAAAAGUUUAGUCUUUAUUUCUGACAAUAAACGCCCAUCAGGCAUUGGAAGCUUGUGUUUUUCAAGAGAUGUGCCAGCAACAUUGAAGAGAAGCUCAAGCUCAUAUAGAACAUAGUUUUUAAGCUCAUCAUCGAAUAAUUUAAGAUUAGGCAUGGCAAAGCUAGACUUGAAACGGGUGAUAAUAUCAUCAUACAUUGAGCGCCAGAAUUUAUUGAACAAAAGUUCUAGAUCAGCAACAUCACAGAAAAGAACAACACUGACAAAGAGAUUCCUAAUUUGAGGAGAUGUUGCAGUAGUCAUGGCCUCACAAAAGACGUCUUCCCAUUCUUUGUCAUCCCCUAAAAGUCCCAAGGUCUUGCAAGCAAGUUGAAAUGUUGGAUGCACAACACCCGAAACAUUUUUUAGAUAAUCAAAGCUCAACGCUCCUCUUACAUGGUUAAGGAGUAGUCUUAGAAAAUAGAGCUCUCCUGAAGCAGGGUGAACAUAUGUUAAUCGAUUAAGACUAAAACCUUUUGAUCUUGGAAUCCAUUCUUUUUUACCAGGAUCCCAAAUAUAUUUAUGUGGAAAUUCUGAGUAGUAAAGCUGACGUGCUUCAUGAUCAAUUCUAUUACGUGUGAACUAUUCUGUGAGCAUUGUUUUUUCAAUACCUGGUUUUUGAAGUACUGAUGGUAGAUUUUCAUUUCUUGAGUAAACAACAUUUUGAUGCAAUGGCAAAUGGAUUUGAAGUCGCUCAACAGGAGGUGAUCUUGAAUGUAUUGGAAAUUAUAGAAGACGCCAGACCGCUUCAUAUGGGCAUAUAAAACGACAAUUCAUAUACGCAUGGAUCUCAUCAGCACGAUCUUUUUCAACAACAACUCUACAUCUAUCAGAGCCCUUGCUUACGUACUUAAAAAGAUACUUAAUUAACAUUGACUGACAACAGAUCUCAAUAUUUAUGUGGGCAUUGUAUCGUAAUAAGAGUUCCCUAUUAUAUGGAACAACAUAUCUGUUAUUGAGCUGAAUGCCAUUUUUGAUAACAAAAUUGUCUUUAAGAUCACGACGUCUGUAAUAAACAAAGCCAUUAUCAUCAAAAACAGUUUGUGUCUUGAAUUUUUUUGGGAAUCUUUUUGAGCAAAUUCCCUCGUUUAUACACUGAGAUUUUGGAUUUGCAAGACCAUCAUGAAUCUUGAAACAAUUUCAUAGCAUUUUGGAUCUGUAAAUUUGUCAGGGAUUUCAGCUGAAACAAUGGAAUCAACAUCUUUAGGUGUACGACAUUUAAAAUUCGAGUGUAGCCAAAUCAAUAUAUGAGUGUGUGGCAAACCCCUCUUUUGAAAUUCAAUUGCACAAACAUCUACAAAAUAAAAAGAAAACUAAGCCAAACAAUCCUAAUAAGAAUAGAAAGUUGUAAUGUUUAGAAGAAAUGAGAUAAAAGAUAAGGCACCUGCAAUUAUCUGACCAAAAGUCUUGCCUGAUUUUAUAAAGGCUAACAUAUCAAUAACCAUCGAUCUAAAAACAUGUGUAAUGAUAUCAGGCUUGUCUUCAUGUUUGUAAAUUCGACCUUUUGUAAGCUCCCUUCGUAUCUCCGGCCAAUUGACAUUACAUGUGAAUGUAAUAAAUAGGUCAGGAUUUCCAUAGGCUCUACAUAUAGCCAUUGCAUCCUGGUAAUUAUUGAUCAUAUAACGUGGGCUACCAGUUAAAGAAGAUGGAACAAUGAUUUUCCCAGUUGAGAAACCUUCAACAUCCCCAUUAAGCACAGCUUCAUGGAUACCUUUAUAAACUUCUGUACGUAAAUCUUUUUUAUUAGCUCUGAUAUAAUCAAGACGAUCUUCUUCAACAUUAACAAAUGCAUUGACCAAGAAUUGUUGGUACAAACGACCUCCUUUAAUGAUGGUAUUAUCGCACCCAGGCCUUUCAUUGAUAAGGUAAGCAUAAUAAGCUCGCAUCGGAACUCUUGACCUUUUCCUUGUUUUUUCAUGUCCAUGAUCAACAAACAUAAUAUUACAGGAGUAGCCAUCUUCACCAUAAGGAAACAAAAGGGGAUACUGUAAUGCCAUGAAUUUUGGAUGUAAUUUUGAGAUCCUUUUUAAAGAACCUGAAAAGCAUUCAAUAAUUAUAUCUCGUUCCGAGAAAAAAUCUCAAAUAUCUCCAACAACUAAUCCACCAAUGUCAUUUGAUGUAGGAUCAUCAUAUUGGCGUGAAUCAUGGUUUCGCUUUCCAAGUAAGUGAAGUUUAUAAUCAACAGAUUGAAUAUUUUGAGUUUUGUCUCUAGCUUUGCGAAAUAAUUUGGCAAGCUCGUUCGUUUCAUUAAGCAUUCUUAAAAGAUCCACAACAAUAUUCUCAUCCAGAGAUGAUGAUUUGGAGUCUCUUGUAAAUGGUAAAAGUCUAUUUGCAACUUCGUAAGCAGAGUCAAACACAUAGAGCUGUGCAAACUUCGGUGAUUCUCCAUCAACAGGUAAGAGAGAGCCCAUUAAAUGAUGACAAUGACCGCUUAUCUUGAACACAUAUGGAGUUGGUUGAUCAUUAACAGAAGUAUCAAUCUUUGCGCCCAUUGAUGUGAAAGCAAACAUAGAGUUAUAAGCUCGUAUAUUGUCCCGAAAUUUUUUUGAGGCAGAGCAAUUGUUGGGAUCAAGAAGAAAAUCAAGAAUUGAAGGAGUUGGUUGCAUAGCUGGAAGGGAAACUCGACCAUUAAGGCAACAAAGUGAGAAAGAUGGAUUCUUUUUGGAUGAACGUGCAAGACGUUCUUGGAGCCAAAAAAGUGCAUUACAAUGGCAACAUGUAAAAGUCUUAUCACCAAAGUCAACAUACUCGCAUGUUUCCCCUAGAAAUUACAAAGAAAAUGAAAGAUAAUGAAAAAAAAAGAACAUGGAUGAUAUAAGGUAUAAAAAAAUGAAUGAGAGUUGGGGAAAUUUCAAGGUAAACUCACUUUUUCGUUUUUUUUGGUAUUCAGAUUGGCCAACCAAUAGCCUUUGAUAAGCAAUUGGUCCAUGUGUGGUGUUAGUCUCAAAGUUAGUAUUGUUAUUGACAUUUUCAUCGAAGGGAAAUCCAUAUGCAAGAUGUGCCUGACUUGUUGAUGCUAUUGAUGAAGAGGUACUAUUAUUCGAGAUUGAAUAAUUUCCUUGUAAGGAAGUAGAACAUGAUGCACCAUCAUCAGUAGUAUGUAAAAGCGAGUGAUCAUUGGUUAGAUGAUCAGAGUUGUACGGUGUUGCUUGCAUGAAUGAAAAAUUUUUGUCACCCAAAUUUCCUUCACUAUAAAUAUGGAUUGUUGAGUUGUAUGGUGAAGAAACACCAGGCCCAACAUCAUGGAAUGGUUGUAAUCUUUGUCGAUUGCUAGUCAUAAAGUCGUUGCUUCUAAAAGUUAAAAGAUAAAUUUAAAUGGUCAAAGAUAGUCAAUCAAGGCAAUUUUAAUAACAUGGUUAGAAUUAAGAAUAUAAAUGGAAAAGAAAUAAAAAUUCCAUGAAAGAAUAAGAAAUCAAACAGAAAAUUUAAUUAUGAAAUAGAGGAAAUAUAAACACAUGAAAAAAAUCGCAUUGAUUUGAAAAAAAAUGAAGCAUAGAAUGGAAAAGACAAAUACAGCAACAAAGAAAGCAUGAAAAAUGCAGGCUAAGUUUGAAAAUAAAGGUGCACCUGUAGCUGCAGUGAGACAGGAAAAAUGUGGUGUUUCAGCUUCCUGUAACGUGGAGAUAGUUGAACAACAAUUGGAAUAACAGACCUGCAACAAAUGGUGAAAAAUAGAAAGUCACGAAGCAAAUUUGAAUUUAUGAGGUGGACAAUAACAACAACAGCAAAAAUACAUGUGAUUACAAAAAUUGCAAGCAAACAAUUAUGAAAAAUAUGUUCAUUCUGCUGCAAAAUUCAGAGUUGUUGCAAUGGAAAGAAGCAAAUGCAAUAAUAAAAAAAGCGUGUGGCAUUUGUUGCAAUAAACAGAGGCGGUAUGAAAUGAACAUUUUUUUUCUCAACAAAUUCUCGGUGUAAACCAAUUAAGCCACAAAUUAUAUGCAAUCAAAUUCAAAGCAUAAAACGUGUUCAUUAUGCCGCAAACUUUAGAGUUGUUCCAAUAGAAAGAAGGAAAUGCAACAAAAUAAAGAAAAUGAGUGGAAAUUGUUGCAAUAAAUAGAGGUGCUACGAAAUGAACAAACUUUUUUCUCACCAAAUUCUUGUUGGAAACCAAUUUAGUCACUAAUUAUAUGCAAUGCAAUUAAAAGCAUUAAUUCAGCCACCAAUUACAUGCUCAAAUUAAAAUCAUGGGAAUUAACAACAUAAUUUUAACAAAGAAAAUUUUUUUCAUGCAAGCAUUGUUGAAAAUAAAAUUAGCCGGUCAUCAUAUGUAAUUGAAUCGAAAAGCCUUGACAUGAGCAAUGUAUAUUGUUAUGGAGAAAAUAGAACAAAAAAAAAUAAUGGUUAAGCACAAUGUUGUCAAUGAUUCCAACCAUAUUAUACGAAAUCAAAUCUAAAGCGAUAAUUCAACUGCCACUUAUAUACAAUUUAAUUCAAAAUCUAACUAAAACUAAAUCGUAAGGGAAUGGUUUAUAAUUUUCCAAUCAAAGCAAUUUUAAUAAUAUGGAAAAAAUUGAAAAUUCCAAUGGAAAACAAUUAAAAGCAAACUAUUUAAUGAAAGAAUAAGAUUAAAAAAUUCACCAAAAAAGUUAAUUAUGUAAUAAAGCAAACAUGAACAUAUAUAAAAAUCCAAAUUAAUUCAUAAAAAAGCAAGCACAUAAUGGAAAAGAAAAAUACAAUGACAAAGUCACAGGCAAAAAACAGGUCAAGUUUGAAAAUAAAGGUAUACCUAUAGCUUAAGUGAGACAGGAAAAAGGUGGUGUUUCAACUUCCUGCAACCUGGAGAUAGUUCAACACCAAUUGAAAUAACAUGCCUGUAACAUAUGGCGAAAAAUAGAAAGUUAGCAAGGAAAUUUGAACUUUAGAGAUGGACAAUAACAAUAAUAAAAAAAAUAUGUAUGAUUAUGAAAAUCGAUAGAAAAUAAUUAUGAAAAAUAUGUUUAAUCUGCUGCAAAAAUAAUAGUUGUUGCAAUGAAAAGAAGCAAAUGCAACAAUAAAGAAAGUGAGUAGAAUUUGUUGCAAUAAACAAAGGUGAUACCAAAUGAGCAAUUUUAUUUUCCAUCAAAAUCUUGUUGUAAACCAAUUCAACCACUAAUUAUAUGCAUCCAUUUCAAAGCAGCGACAAUUCAACCACCAAUUACAUGCAACUGAAAUUAAUUAAAGUCAUGGCAAUUAACAACAUAAUUUCAGAAAGAGAAUUUUCUUUAUGCAAGUGUUGUUGAAAACAAAAGUAGCUAGCAAUCACAUCUAAUUGAAUUGAAAAAUCUUGAUAUGAGCAAUAUAUAUUUGUUGAGAGAAUAAAACCCAAUAAAACAAUAAUGGUUAAGCAUAAAGUUGUAAACCAUUUUAGGCACAAAUUAUAUGCACUGAAAUUUAAAGUGAUAAUUUAAUUGCUAAUUAUAUAUAAUUUAAUUCNNNNNNNNNNNNNNNNNNNNNNNNNNNNNNNNNNNNNNNNNNNNNNNNNNNNNNNNNNNNNNNNNNNNNNNNNNNNNNNNNNNNNNNNNNNNNNNNNNNNACAGUAGCACCUUAAAUGACCAUGCCAAACCAAUAAACAAUUUAAUUUUAUGUUUUCAAGCAUAGAAGUAAUAACCUUGAUUCCCUGCAUUAUUUCAUUAGCUAACCUAGCAAUUAACAUCCAAAUGGGAAAAUCUUCAACAUACUGUUAUUUCUUAUUCUUAAGCAUAUUUCAUUUCGGAAUGCAUCUCUUUAAAUAACCUCCAACAUGAGUUCAAUCAACUCUUUUUUAAAACACAUAUCACUAAGCAUGAGUUCAAACAACACCUUUUUAAAAAAAAAACACAUAUCAGCAAGCAUAUAUUUUCCAGCAAAGCAAAACAACACCCUAAUCUCAAGCUAUCAUGCAAACAAAGAAUAAGCAUUGAUUAAUUUAACUUAAGCUCUUUCAACAACAACAAAGAUAUUUUAAAAAAUUUAGUAAAAAAUAGCUUGAAAGAAAGAAUGAAACAACUAAAAACCAGAACACUAUUUAAUAAAAAAAAAGAGGCAUGAAAAUACCUUGUUAAACAUUUCUUGAAAGUGGAUAGCAAAACCAAUAGCCUACACGAUUAAAGAUUCUGAGAAGAUCCAUAAAAAAUAAAGCAACCUGUAAAACAAAUAUUUUCAGAUGCAUAAAUCCACUAAUCAGCCAAAUCAACACCUAAAAUCCAGAUGGAAAAAAACCACAAACAAAUUGUUUUUCUCAUAUCUGAAGCACCAAUCAACUUCAAAUGCCUCAUCUCAAAUAACAAUUUUUUUAAAAGGAAACAAAACAACGUGAAGCUUAACAACAAUGAAGCAACCUAAGGCUUUGUGUGAACGUAGUGCAGAAAAAAAUGUUAUUAGAUAAUGUAUGCAUUAUGCUGAUCAUGUUACAAAGGAAUGAGAUAACAUAAUACAACUCACACAUUACCUAGUAAACUGAAAAAAAAAAAAAACAUGGAAGCCAUUCAAAGGCAUACAGAUAAGAUGACAGGAAAAGGAAAAAAAAAAACAAAACUGCAGAAGCAAAUGAAAAGAAUAAGGGGAACUGUAGUUACUGAAAUGAAAAAAAACAAUGCCACAUGACAGCCCUUGCCAAAUAAAAAGACCACAUGGAUUAGAGCAAAAAACUCUCAACUAUAAAAAACAUGGACCCAAAAUCAAAAUCAAAAUUGCAUGGACAAAGUAAUAUUUAAAUAAUGAUGGGUUUCAGUAUAGAGUCGGUGUUUUUAUAUAAUGAUGGGUUACAUUAAUUUUGUAUGGACAAAGUAAUAUUUAAAUCACAAACAUGUAUUUAUUUGGCAUAUGUGGUUUUACAGCCUAUGGAGCACAACCUUUUGUUCUUGAAAAUGGAUGAUCAUGACAUGCACUUGUUUUUUUUACCUUUAUUUCAAUAUAUUUCUAAUACUUUAUCAAAAAAGUAUUUCAAUAUAUUUCUAAUACAUCAAUAUAUUUCUAAUAUUUCAAAAAAAAAACAAAACAAAUUAAUUUGUAAAAAAACAAACAUAAAAUGGAAAAGAAAAAUACAACAACAAAGUUGCAAGCAAAAAAGAGGUAAAGCCUGAAAAUAAUGGCGCACCUGUAACUUGAGUGACACAGGAAAAAGAUGGUGUUGCAGCUCUCUGCAACCUAGAGAUAGUUCAACACUAAUUGGAAUAGUAUGCCUGCAACAAAUGGUGAAAAAUAGAAAGCCACCAAGCAAAUUUGAACUUGAGAGAUGGACAAUAACAACAAUAAAAAAAGACAUGCGAUUAUGAAAACCGAAAGAAAAUAAUUAUGAAAAAUGUGUUCAUUCGGCUGCAAAAAUGAUAGCUGUUGCAAUGGAAAGAAGCAAAUGCAACAAUAAAGAAAGUGAGUGGAAUUUGUUACAAUAAACAGAGUUGAUACCAAAUGAACAAUUUUUUUUCCAACCAAAAUCUUGCUGAAAGCCAAUUCAGCCACUAAUCAUAUGCAAUUCAAUUCAAAGCGAUAAUUCAGCCACCAAUUACAUGCAACUAAAAUUAAUUAAAGUCAUAGCAAUUAACAGCAUAAUUUCAGAAAGAGAAUUUUCUCUAUGCAAGUGUUGUUGAAAACAAAAGUAGCCAGAAAUCACAUGUAAUUGAAUUGAAAGGUCUUGAAAUGAGCAAUGUAUAUUCGUGGAGAGAAAAUAGAACCUAAUAAAACAAUAAUGGUUAAGCAUAAAGUUGUAAACCAUUUCAGGCAGAAAUCAUACACACUGAAAUUUAAAGUGGUAAUUUAAUUGCUAACUAUAUAUAAUUUAAUUCAUAGGCCAAGGAAAUAUAAAACAACAUGUCAAAAAUUCUUAAUUCAACAUACAACACCUUAAAUUACAAUGUCAAACCAAUAAACAAUUUAAUUCUCCGUUUUGAAGCAUAGAAGUAAUAACCUUGAUCGCCUAAAUUAUUUCAUUAGUUAACCUAGCAAUUAACACCCAAAUGGAAAAAUCUUCAACAUAUUAUUAUUUUUUAUUCUUAAGCAUCUUUCAUUUCGGAAUGUAUCUCUUUAAAUAACCAUUAACAUGAGUUCAAUUAGUUUUUUUUUAAAAAAAAAACACAUAUCACUAAGCAUGAGUUCAAGCAACACCUUUUUAAAAAACACAUAUCAUCAAUCAUAUAUUUUCCAGCAAAGCAAAACAACACCCCAAACAUGUCAAAAAUUCUUAAUUCAACAUACAACACCUUAAAUUACCAUGUCAAACCAAUAAACAAUCUAAUUCUCCGUUUUGAAGCAUAGAAGUAAUAACCUUGAUCGCCUAAAUUAUUUCAUUAGUUAACCUAGCAAUUAACACCCAAAUGGAAAAAUCUUCAACAUAUUAUUAUUUUUUAUUCUUAAGCAUCUUUCAUUUCGGAAUGUAUCUCUUUAAAUAACCAUUAACAUGAGUUCAAUUAGUUUUUUUUUAAAAAAAAAACACAUAUCACUAAGCAUGAGUUCAAGCAACACCUUUUUAAAAAACACAUAUCAUCAAUCAUAUAUUUUCCAGCAAAGCAAAACAACACCCCAAACUCGAGGUUAUUAAAAUUCAAUUAGCCUUUGAGUGACAAAACUGUUCAAAGUAGAAAAGACAAAAGUGAAGAUGGUGUAGUUGUUUGUCUCAACGAAAGCUUUUUGGUAACACAAAUUGUCUAAGAAAAUGACAGCGAGAACUGAAAUUGCAAGCAAAGCUAGUUCUCUUGAUUGCACACAAAAUCAGAGGGAAGAAAUUAAGGAAUAAAGCAUCAAGACCAAUUGAAAAUUAAACAACAAAUCCAUUCAUUUUACGGAUCAAAUAAAUUAAUUAAAAAAAUUGUGAUAGAAUCAAAUGUAUCCAGUCAAGUCAAAAACCCUAAUUGCAAUUAAAAAUCAAUGUUAAGAGAAAUUACAAUACGAUCUUGCAAGGUUUUGGCUUUUUCAGCUACGACUUGAUCGGCUUGGUGAACAAAAAGUUGUUCCCUACUUCCACUGCCUUGCUCACAUAGAGAGAAUUGAACACAAAUUGAUACAACAUACUUGUUUUUCAACGAAUGAAAACUUAAGCACAAAAGGAAAAUUAAAUUGUCCCUGGUGCUAUUAAUCUGAAUAGCUAUAACUGCAAAAUAUUAAGAUUCAAAAUAUGAGCUGAGCUCUUCCUCUUGAGUCCAUGAAAACUAAAUUCUUAUCCAAGACUGAGUUUAUAUUAUUGGGCUUUUCUUCAAGGCAUAGCUUAUGAACAGUUGGAACCGUAUAUAUUGCGUGAGACUUGAGUUUCUAGGUUUUCAAGGGGUUUUUUUAUAUAUAGUUAAAUCUGAAUUUAGUUUUAGAUAAAUUCAGAUUUAGCUAUUAAUUCAACUUAAGCUCCUUCUACAACAACAAAGAUAUUUAAACAAAUUUAGCAGAAAAUAGCUUGAAAGAAAGAACGAAACAACCAUGAACCAUAACACUAUCUAAUAAAAAAAAAGAGGUGUGAAAAUACGUUGUUAAACAUUCCUUGAAAGUGGAUAGCAAAACCAAUGGCCUACACGAUUAAAGAUUGUGAGAAAGUCCACAAAAGGUAAAGCAACCUGUAAAACAAAUAUUUUCAGAUGCAUAAAUCCACUUAUCAGCCAAAUUAACACCUAAAAUUGAGAUGGGAAAAAGCCACAAACAAACUGUUUUUCCUAUAUCUCAAGUACCAAUCAACCUCAAAUGCCUCAUAUCAAAUAACAAAUUCAUUCAUGUCAAUUCAUAAUUUUUUUUAAAAAAUAAUUUUUUAAUCCAAAACCAAAUGGAACAAAAAAUACUUACCCUAAAUCUCCUGUGUUGUUGAUGGAAAAUCUUGUUUUUUUAGGUGCUAGGCUUCUAGUCCAGGUUAUGGAGAGGCGUUUUUUAAAAAAAAAAGUAGUGAAGAUAUACUGAGGUUUUUCGCUAAAACUCUAUGAAAAUUUGGUGGUUUUUCCAUUCUGCUGCUAUUUUUUUUUAAUUCCCUAAAGCAUGCAACACAAUUGUCAAACUCUGUAGGCUCCCAUGGUCAAACAGUGUUAAAUGUUCUAGAAGAUUAGGCUCUGUUUUUUCUGGCCCAAAUACACGAACCAUUUUGGGAACAGAGUUUGUUUCUUUUUCUUUAACCCCCCUCAUUUAUAUCCCACCAAACACAAAUAUUAUACGAAACUCUUUGGGGGCUGGGAGAAGGCUAAGGUAAUUUUUGUGCUUGGAGGGUCCUUGGGGGCUAAUGCUAUUAACUUUGAUUUGCUGAAUGUUUAUAGUCAAAUGUUAUUGGGGCAUAAGGAUUGGUAUAUUACUAAUAACAAAAAAGGCAACAAACAAUGCUACAAAUAAUCGUUCAAUAAAAGUAAAAAAAAUUAAAGACAACUAAAAGGAGCCAAAUCUUAAAAAUACAGUAAAGAGACAAUGAACAAAUCUGGCUUUCACAUGAAAGGAAAAGGUUGGAAAUAAGCAUUGACAUGUCUAAACAAACCUCUCAAUACAAAGUUUAUAACUUGCAACCCAAAUUGAUUUGAAACUAAAGCUGAGGAAAAGCAUAGAAUAAUCUUAAAAAACUAACCUUUGUCUUAGUAGAACACGGGGAAAAAGUUAGGAGCCAGCACACCCAAAAGCAGAGCUUGAAGCAUUAUAUAUCUUUGCAGGAAAAAGGAAAAUACAUGUCUACCAACAUGAUAAAAAGCAACCAACUGGAUGUCACAAAACAAAAGUGAUUGCUAUGACCAGAUAUGAAAUAGAGCUCUUAAAAAAUAUUGCAACAGGACAACCCAUCACCUACCCAAGUCAGAACUAAACUAACAAAUCAGCCCCCUCACCUUGUCUCCACAUUUCCCGCCCAAGAAAAAAUGACCAGAUAUGAAAUAGAGUUCUUUAAAAAUAUUCUAACAGGACAACUCAUCACCUACCCAAGUCAGAACUAAGCUAACAAAUCAGCCCCCUCACUUUGUCUCCACAUUUCCCGCUCAAGAAAAACACUGCACAUCACAAUGGCAGCAACAUGCCAACCUCAACGUGCAUUAAAUGUCUGUCAGUUGAAACAGCUUAAAACCAUACUCCUUUUCUCCUUUCAUCAGCAUGCUGAACCAACCCACUCUCAACUAUCUCAACUGAGACAUCCAAAUGCAUGUCCACACCUUAAUUCUUGGGAAAAAAAACGUACCAGCACAGAGAAAUGCAAGCAGACCAGCCAUGUAUAAAUAAGAAUUACAAAGAGCCUUUUAAUCCAUGCUAAGCCACCUAAUAAACAAAGCUUCACUGUCAAGUGAUAUUUUGUAAAAAAGCAAACUGAAAAUUAAAUUAAUUUUAAAAAAACCAAAAUUGGUCAGUCAAUCACUGCAAUAAUAUGCAAAAUCUGACCAAAUUACUAAUCACAAAUAAACUCACCUGCUCUCUCAAUCAAAUCUAACCAAGUGGGCGUUGCAUUUAAUGUAGCAUAAUAAGAACACAUACAAUCCAGAAGAAAGGACUCCUAAAAGCAAGCUAGAUUUUCUAGUGGCGGCCACGUCUCUGCAGACUAAAGUCCCUUUCCCUUUUAGCCUAAGCCAUCAUGAAAUCCAAGCCAUCGUUCACCCUUCAUUUCCCGGUCUUUCCUUUUGGGAGCUUCUGUCUACGGACCCUGAUUUUUCCACAUGCAAUUAUAAUAUUUGUUCGUGAGGGCCCAAGCAGCAAGAAAAGGAAGGAGCUAAAAUUCCCUGUCAGACAAAGCUCUAUAAGGUAAGGAAGAAAAUCAGUCUUGACUAAAAGCUUAUCGAAGUCACUUACGGAUCCGGAUCCCAUUCUUUUUUAGUGAACGAAGCGCAAGCUCCGCCCAGACCUCCUGGUGAGAACUGAAAUCCUGAUGCAAACUGAGAUCUUGGAGUGAAACCAAGACGAUGUUCCUCCUGGAUAGAGCCACCAGCCAGCCCAACCUAAAGCCAUACCCAAGCCUGUAGAAGCACACACAGUCAAUAACUAACAGCUUUAAAACUCUCAUCUCACACGAACAAACCAACAGGGAAUAAAUCUCCAUGAAUCCCAACUUAGCGCGAGAAAACACUAAAGCAGACCUUCAAGCGAUAAGAAUUGCUCGAGUCCACAGUAAUUACACUCGGUGGCUACAAUGUUUUCUUAAGCCCUUUUAGUAUUUUUUUUUAAUUUUAAUUGAGAUGGAUCUGGAAUUGUGAACGUGCUCUUUGGUUUGUUUUUUAAGUGUUCUCUGAUGCGUUUGUAUCAGAAAAAACAAAGAGAUGGAAAGAUGUAACCUGUAAAAAAAAACAUAAAGAUACAUGGUAGGGAUGCUGCCACGUACCUAACAAAACAAAUGAAAAAACAGUGAAAGAAAACUGGCCAAAACUUAUCGCAAGAAUGAAUUUUAAACGUAAACAGUGCAAUCCACAGUGAUUCUAGAGACAAUCUACAGUGAUUCACUAAUCUCUUUUAGUUUUUUUUUAAUAUGAGGGGAGAUCGAGCUAUCAUCCCUGCUGACAGAUUCGACCAAGUUGACAAAAUGAUGAAAUUUAGGCACGUUAAGAAUAUAAUUUGUUUUGCCUCCCUUUGUAAAAUGUGUAGCAUCAUAUCCUGACUUCCAAAAAGAAAUAAACCAUAUUUGAAAUUGAAUUGGUGAUGUUUGUUAUGACUGCUAAUGAACCGAAAUCCUAAAGGAUAAUAAUGAGAGGGUAAAUGUAAAAAUAAUGGUAAAAAAGAAAUGAAUGUUGUCACCAUCUUUAUUACUAUGUUGCGAAAUGUGAUUGAGAAUGAAAUAAUGAUGGGUACUUGUGGAUUCAAGAGGAAUCGCAAAAGGAGUACAACAACAUCAAAGGAAUGCAAGCCGAGCUUCUGUAGUAGGUAGGUAUUAUACACCUAUAUCUUCCUUAGUUAAUACGAUUCUAGUUAUCUAUUGGGAUUAUAAAUCAUGUGCCUAUAAAUGAGUCCGAAAAGAGAAAAGAGAAAAGAUGAAAUGACAUGAAUGAGAACUGGAAAACCAGAUUUGAUUUAUGAGUUCCUCUAGAGAGAAUGGACGAAAAUAACGAGUUUUUAUGGAAAAUCGUCCCUUGGAUUUGAUUAGCCAGUCCCCAAAUACGGGAGGCUAAUGAUGUUAGCCAGGUUGGCUAACAUCGACAUGACCAAUACGGAGGAGGAGAAACAUUGGACUUGAUUAACUAUUCGGGUUAAGAAUAAUUAAUGAUAUCGUCGGUUGACAUCGGUAUCGACAAACUCAUGGAGCUUAAUUAGCUUUCUUGAGGUGAAAGCUAAUGAUGUUAAGAAUUCUUGACAUCAACAUACCCGAGGAUAUUCCAAUGUAAUAUGGAACACUGAUUAAUUAUUUUAGUUCAUAAAUAGUUAAUGACAUGAACGGGUUAUGUUGGCGUCAACAUUCCCACGAACUUGAUUAGUCGAUUCCAGAAUAGGUGACUAAAGAUACUAAUAUGAGUCAUUAAUAUCAGCAAUUACCUCUCCGAAUUGGAAAAAAGUGGCACGAUGUUGUGCUCCUAAUGAAAUUUGGGAUGUUUAUGAAAUGAAAAAUAAUGGGUGAUCCUCAGAAGAAUAAAUAGGGACAAAAUCAUAAAAGGCAAAUUAAUAAUUCAAAAGGCCAUUGUUAUGCAUGGAUUAGUAUAUGAUUAAAUAUAUAUAUAUAUAUAUAUAUAUAUAUAUGCAUGUAUCGUAUAAAUUUCCCUUUUUUAUUGUAUGCUUAUUUUAAUUAUUCUAAAAAUUAUAAAUUGCAGGUCGUUUCCACUCACGUCAGGAGUAGUAUUUAGAUCCCCUGGUUUUCUUUUGUAUAAAUUAAGAAUGUAAGAAUUGCCUUCAUAUUUUGUUCUUAAGUAACCAUAUAACUCGGGACGUAAUAGUGUCAUCCUUGUAAUUUUAUGUUUGGAAUACUGGAUUGUAUUAUUUUGUAUUUGGAAUUCAAAUGUUUGUAUGCUUCUUUUAUUUGUUAAAUUAUGUAUGUUAAAUAUGAAAGAAAUUGAAUGGACAAAAUGUCAUAUCUAUGUUUUUUAAUAUAUUGUUGAGUUGGACUUGUUGUGAUUGCGAUAUGAUUGAGAUGUGAGUAUAAGAUGUGUAAAGGACGAUAGUCAAUAACUUGGAACCUCCCGGUAUAGGGGAGACUCUGCUGAAAUUUUGGUGAAAAUUUAGGAAACCUUAAAUAAUGGAAAAAAAAAUUUACCCACAAAUUCGGUAGUAUAAUCGCGUGUUUUUAAUCCUGAAAAUGGGAAUGUUACAAUUUGGUAUUAGAUCCUCUGGUUGAAAUUUCAGGGACUGAAGUAACGAUGUGGUUUUGGAAAAUAUAUUGUAGGAUAUUUCAUACAUGGCAAAGAGUAAUGACAGACUCAUCUCCCAUGAGAAGGAGAAAGUAUGACUCAUUGGAUGGUAACGAAGCUAAAGGGGAUCCGCUAAUGGACACUACCUCUCAUUUACCUGCAACAUCAGCCCAUUCUGAGAAGGGAGAAUUAGGGGGGCAUCAGGAUAACCCUGCAUCCCAUCAGGCCAAAGUGUUGCUACGCAGAGCAACGGGUGGUCAGGGACCAGAAGAUAGGCCUCCACUGGCCACACCGAUGGCCACACCAAAUCCAUAUUCGAACCCUGCGUUUCUGGAGCAACUGGUCAAGGUAGUAGCAGCAAGGAUAGCUGUAGGAACGUCCAGUCCUGCCUCUCGGGUAGAGAGAGUGGUUACCCUAGUUCAAUGGGUGAAGGGUAUGCGAGAAAUGAGUUGUACAACCUAUUCAGGGGAAGAAGACACUGGAUCAUUUAAAAUAAUUUGGAUUUUAAAAAAAAAAAAUACAAUGUAAUUUUAGGUAAAAAAAACUUUGGUUUACCAUAGUUAACCUAUUUAAUCUUAAAUCCAAGCUUUAUUAAAGAAUUUUUUUCAAUCCAAAAACUUAAAUUAUUAUUAUUUAUAUUAUUUUACUCUUUGAACUUGAAAUUUUUAUAGACUCAAACUACUUUCUGCUAUUUUAUCGAAUACGAUGAAGAUGAUGAGAUUCUAAGUUGUGACCGCUUAGUUAAUAAAGUUUUAAUACCAUGAUAAAAAAUCAUCUCAACUCAAAAGUUUAAGUUAAGGUUGACAUGAGUCAAUUCUUAUAAGGCUUCAUUUGGGAUUGGGGUUGAAUCGGAUUUUCAUCAAAUUUUAAUUUUUUUUCUUGCUUUGAAUUAAUUUUUUUUAGUAUUUUUGAAUCGUUUUAAUGUGCUUUUUUCAAAAAUAAAUUUUAAAAAAAUUAUAUAUAUAUAUUUCCAAGUAUAAAACAUUUUGAAAAACAAUAUUAACUACACUCUCAAACAGACUCUAACUCUAUAUUACUUAUUCUACAUUUUAUUCUUAAUUACAUUUUUUAUUUUAUGUAAACCUUAGGAUAAAUUAUAAUAACUAUUUUAAUAGUAAGUUAUGGUUAUUCAAAAAUAAAGUGUGUGUAUACAAUCGAGAAAUCCUGUAAACGUCUAUAGUAAAGUACAUUUAUUUUUUAAUUUAUUCUAGAGAUAUUUUAAUCAUUUUAAUUACAAUGGUAGUCAAUAAAAGUUUAAUUAUUUUAUUUCAGAUUUUUUGUAACAAAAAAAGGAAAUUAACCUCUUGAAUCUCACCUAAUUCAAAUCUUACUUACAUAUUAAAUAAUCAUUUCAAUUCAAAAUAAUAAACUAAGAUUUUAUAUUACUCACAAAAAUAUUUAUUCACGUGAAAUACUCAUUAAAUUUAAAACUUACAUAAACUCAUGAUUAUUUUAUAUUUAAUUUUAUUAAUUAAAAUAAAAACAGUAAAAUUUAAGUUAAUGAACUUAUAUUAUCUUAUAUUUAAUUUUAUUAAUUAAAAUAAAAAUAGUAAAAUUUGAAUAAAAAUUGAAUUCAUGAUUAGCUAUCUUUUUAAGGAUCUUGAGCAUCGGUCUCGGUGAAGGUGCAAUGAGAGUCCUCCCAGAUAAGAGCGUGGUGUGAUCUUAAGCAACCCUGUAAAGUUGCUUGCGAAUUCAAAGAUAAGAUUAUGAUAAUUUCUAGUAAUUUCAGUACUCACAAGUACCAAAAUGAAUCUGAAAGUGAAACAUUCAAGAAACAGAAAAUCCUUGGAUAGAUUAUUCAAAGAGUGAGAAGAAAGAUAUUGUUUCCAUUGAUUACAAACAAAACAUGAACACUACUCACACAAGCUUGCCGGCUGCUUCCACCACCACCACCACCACCACCACCAUACUUUAUACAUGCUGAAACAUUUAUUAUAUACCAGAAGCAACCAGAAGAAGAAGCAGAAAACUUCAGUACGUAUUACAUGCUGUUAACGAUAUUAACGUUUGUUUAUGCCAGAACAUCAAGGAAAGGAUAGUCAGUGUAGCCAACAACA